rnacentral:tRNA from 1 species
GGAAGGGUGGCUGAGUGGUUUAAAGCAACGGGUUGCUAACCCGUGGGGCCUAAACAGUCCUUCGUGAGUUCGAAUCUCACCCCUUCCGCUA